rnacentral:rRNA from 1 species
AUGCUGUCAAAACGAACCUUGGCUAAACUGCUCGAGGACUGCAUUAAAGCCGUUGCCGUCAUCCUCGUAGCUGCUGUCGUCUUCUACACCGAAUGCUACCUCAGGAAUGGCCACGCUACGUUCAUGAAAAUUGUAAAGACCCGGUACCAAAAUGGAAAAUUCCCCAAGCUAGAUAGUGCUGUGAUGGUUGUGCUGUCCAGAAGACUCUGUUUGGUAGGCUUAGUUGGGGCCAACCUAUUUGUACCAACAUUUCUUUUAGCAACUAUAGUAUUUUUUUUUUUUGCGGAUGAGCAACUAUAG